CUCCAGAGUGCUAUCCGGUAUUCGUGUUCCAACAUUGAAAGGGUAGUUUAGUCUGUCGAAGGCUUUUGCAAACGGUGUUACAUCCUUUCUUUACAAUGGGUGAAGCAGCGGUGUGGCAGUUUCUAUUCAGUACAAAAAUUGUUGGAAAUUCACAUUUUGGAGGAUUUGUAACUAGCUGCAGUGCGGAGAGAAAAGAGAAGAAAUCUCGAGAAUCACACUGGCAUGUGAUCGUUCUGACUUUGCGAAAUCCGACAAGAAAAAGAAAAGAGGAGCUGCCCCCUCCAUCACGAAAAAUCCCACCGAAUGUAUACACAUGCAAGUGUGUGUAUGGGCGCGCGUGUGUGUGCGUCGAAUUGAAAAUGGAAGGAAAAAUCUUGAUUCGACGAACCUUCGAUAAGUUGGCUCACUUCAAUCUCAAAAUUCUUGCAGCGAGUCCCGUUGAAAACAGUGGCUAAUGAAAGCACGAAAUCAGAUUUCAUUAAUGCCGACGAAUCGUACACGUGCGAUAAGGCCACUCGGGAAAGCUCAAACAAAGAGGAAGAAAAGGGAAUCAGGAUUUCUGAGCUUUGUGUUGCGACUUCAAAAGAAAGGGCCAUGCAAGAUCGGGUAAAAAGGCCCGUUAGAAAAGAAAGAGAAAUCGAUAAGGUACGAGAGGAGCAAGCAAGAAUGGACAUUCGCCAAAUUCCUUCAAUUUAAUUGGAAACAUCAAAGUAACGGCUCGGACACAUAGCUCUCGAAGGGAAAGAAUAAUGAAGUAGAAAAAUAGUUGUGCGUUAAAAGUCUACGCCUGCUGGGAUAUUUCAAUUGGAUAAAAAUUCGAUGGAAAAGAACAAAGAGCAUCUAGUUUUCGUCGGUGGAUUUGGUCGCGACUGAAAACGAAUAAUAUCAUGCAAUUUGACAGCUCAUCAAAAAGUGUGACAAGCCAACUUUUUAGCCUGAUAAAAAAUACCCAAAAUUAUUAUUUUCCAGCGUUAUUCGCUGCACUGCAAAGUAAUAAAUCGAAUAAAAACAUCAUGGCGAUAUUACAAUUGGUGUUGAGCGGUUGGUGCUUCCGACGAUAGGUUCGCUAGUCGCAUACUCGUCGGUAAAAGCGGAUAUUCACAGGAAAAACGCGAGGAACCGAUAAUCCUAAAUAGCUCUACACUUCAAACAAAAGUAGAAUAUCUUCUGGAUUACCGCCAUCGAUCGGCGGAGCGGUGGUAGCUGAGCUUUUUAGCAACCGAGAAUAAACGUCUCCCGAUCGACGGCAUCUGCAGCGGGACUUGAACUUAUAAUUGGACUUUAGUAAAAGUGCACUUUGGUUGAGGAACGAAGAUCCUACCUGAGUUCGGAAGAGGGAAGCUGCAUCUGCAAUGUUUGUUCGAUGAUUUUGCCUAUGAUCGCAAGGAUCCUUGCCAAUUGUUCGAGUACAGAUCGGUAAAAUGGAUAUAUUCGACAAUGGAAAAGCGUUUGGAGGUGCUAAUUGGGCUGGGGUUGAAUUUGACACGUUUCCACGAAGAAUUGUUCUUAUGAUGGGUUCCAAGUUGGACGCCGAGGUACGGACAAAAGGACGAAAAACAGCGAAACGUCCGGUAAUCGACGCAUGCGCUGCAACAGUCGAAUAGCUGUAUACAUGUGGAAAAGAAAAGAAGGAGGACUGAUGGCGUUGAAGUAAGACGGGGAUAAAGUAGAAGGGAGACGAAAACGUAGUGGGGGAUGUAAAUGCCCUUGUGAUGUAUCGGAUCGAUGCCGCAGCAUCUGGACCUUCGUUCUUACUACUGCACGACCUAAAAAUGUCCGUCUUAUGCCCACUUAAAAAUCGACACUUCUUUUUCACGCUCCCAAUAAUCGUUCGCUAGAUGAAUAAUGAAUUUUGCGGUAAGGUCGAAACAGCUGAUAAUCGAAUAACUGAGAGUGAGAGGGUCCGACAAAAACUGGUGGUAUUCCGUUUAAUUAAAGGAGCAAUCGAAUGAAAAAUGACGAGCAACAUUCCAUGUUGAUUAUCCAGCUCAAUAAAAUGAAUGAAUCUAAAAAAGUAGCGCGUAUAUGCGCGCGGCGGCUGAAAGAAAUUGGUCUUAAUAACACAUGCGAGCAUGACGAGUCGUGCGGAGUGGCGAGGAAAGCUUUACCGAAAUAGUUGAGAAGUAAAACGAGUCGUAGUAGAUCGGGAGCGAGAGGAUGGCGGAUUGGAAAAAAGCGCGACGAUAAGAAGUGGAAACCACUGGAAGCACAUCAGCCCCGUGACAGCGCCAACUUCUUCUCCAACAUCUUAAAUUUUUGUCUUCCACCACCCAUUAAUCCACUGUUAACAAGCUAGAGAAGCAGGAACCUCUCAGAGGAACACGAUUCGCACACCAGGGGUUGAUAGUCAGAGCUCACAGUCAUGGUGACUCUGCGUCAGCCAACUUCGAAACUUACUGCCUCGGGCCACGUUGACGGCCCGGUGACUUUAGAAUUUUCAAAAGGACAUCGGUGCUCAUUCCCGGAAACAAUAACAUACGUCGGAAUGACAUGUUCGAUAAUGGUCAGCCAAGCGGAAGGUCUGAGAGGGAAACAAAGAGCUCGAUGGAGAAAAGAAAUGAUAAUGGAGCGACAAAAAACGCGAUUGUCGUUGAACCAAGUUGAAGAACCAUGUCUGUUGACAGACCAGAUUAGGUCUACCAGAAAUUGAAAUUAUUGACCACUGCUCUAGGUUCUGUGAUUACAAGAUCCGAGAAAUCAGGAGAUCAAACGGUGGAAAGGAUAUAAGAGCAGAAUUUCGAGGCUCCGAAUCUUAGUGCAACCACAAAAAUGGAACCUCGAGUUUGCAGUCUGAGCAAACUGAUCGAAAUCGCUAAAAAAUUGAACCUGCCAAAUGGCUGUGGAACAAUUCCGUGACGGUUGCAUUGGAGUUGCCGUUUAUUGAAUCAUCGACGGAUUGAAAAUUCAAGGAAAUCGACUUCCGAUCUCAAUAACGCGGGCACGUGGAUCGCAGUGCACCAUUUCUCAUGGUUGCGGGCCAAUUUUGGAUGAGAAACUUUGACAAGCUCAAAUUUCCCAAGGAUUUUAGCAGCCUCGUAUUCGCGACGAUCUUCACUCGUCGUUGCUGGUCAGACCGGCCUCCGCGAGCUCCGACUCGACUAAGGUAGGGUCGACUAAGACGACCAGUCAAACAGCAAAGAGAAGUUGUCAGUGAAACUUCAUGGCCGCGGCACAAGCUCGGCGACAAUCUCGGCAGCGAUUCGUUGCUAUUCCGGGCAUUUUUACGAGAACGCCUUUUAUUCAGUAGCGGUAAAAAUGCCGGGUAUCAGUUGUGCGUCAAGAGGAGCUUCGCAAGCUUUUCCAAUGUCCCGCGAUCCCGGCUUUUCUACAGAUUUUACAUUUUUUUCUUGACGAAAAUCAACGCUAAUCGUGGAUUGAAGAAGAAAUUUCGUGAUGUAAACGAAUCACCAAAACGUUCCAAGACGAAUCGAAGUCGUUCGAACUGAGUGCAGCUCGCCUAAGGUCACUGGAAUCGUACGAAUCGCCGCAUUCCAACUGGGAUAAACGCGUUUAAGUUGGUUCCAAACCAACACAGUUUGACAACAGGAGCGUUUUAGUUGAGCUGAAACGUGAUUGGGGUUGUGGGAACUGAGUCUAAUUCAUCUUGACCUCAUCCAAUCGAGUCAAACUCUGAAUUCUUUCGGUGUUGAGAAGGUUCACUACGAACUCUACGCAAGUUGAUACCGAACUUUGUACGUAGUCGAUUGUCGAUGAGAAGUUUUAGGAAUUGAGAUAAAAUGUGAAGGUUUUUCAUCUUGACAAGGAGCUUGGUCCAGCUCUGUAAAUAUGCAAAGAAACUCCAGCGGUUUUGUGUUUCACCAUUGGAAGAUAAUAACGUCGGAUAAACGUAUCGGCAUCGUCGAGAACUAACCAGAACUCGUAUAAAUGCGUUUCAGUAGUCGGAACCGUCACGAAGAUUCGCUGCCUUUGGUGACUACGUGACCAAACAUAAGUCCAGUUUUUGCAAGCGAAGAAUUCGGGAAUGAUCGGGUCAAUUGUUACCCGCUCUUGCUCUUCCCGUAUCGCUCCGAUUUAGUAUGAGCCUCACAACAACCGGUUGAUCAUUGUGGAAUUUGUAGCUCAAUUAACGGUGGCUUCCAUUGACCAUCCCGGGAGUUAAAACAGUACAAACACACCGGACAUGGAUCUUGUAAACGAUAAGACACCAAAAAAAUCGCCACAUUCCUCCUCAAGGGCUGUUGAAAAAUCUAUUCGAAGAUUUUACGAUUGCAGCGGCCAUCAGAGGGGGCUCGCUCGGACAUUUAUUUUUCUUUCACCCUGACCAACCAAUAAGAACGUUUGAGAGUGAGAAAAAAUAUCACCAGUUCUCAUUGCACCGGACACGUAGACAUGCAGGGGGACGUUUCCUGCUUCGUUGAAGUAAAUCAUUGCGAGAGGCAAAGAAGUUUUCUCGGCAAAUAAGCUCCGCACUUCGAUCGAGUGCUUCGAAGAAUCGUUCGCGUGCCAAAAAUGCUGUCGCAGUUCCCUCGACCGUUGAGUGAAAGUUGUCCAGGGCGUUGGCACGAAAGAAAAAAUGGUCUUCGAUCGUUAUUCGUGUGCCGGAUCACGAUUUUGAAUACUCGGAAAAAUGAAGAACCUCUGUACGAGGGUUCCCCAAAGAUUUCCCGCCAUCCGUAAUAUUCACCUCGACAAAACAGUUCAGGUUCAUAAAACCUGGACGACUGAAGUUCAAUAAACCCGAAUAAAAAGACCUCGAAGAUUUGAUAAACAUCAUCAAA
rnacentral:lncRNA from 1 species